UCGCGAACUCCCACGCCCGCACAUAUCUGAACCGUAAAAUGAAUAUCACAUUCAGAAUCACGACCCACUGCAAUUGGCCUUAAGCAGUUUAGUGGGUAACAUCUCCCGUCUCGUUUUCAAUUGUAUUGUUAGGAGUCCUGUCGAGACCCUAGCUCUACUGCUCCAGUAGGACAACUCUCGAGAAAAAUGUACUCUGGGUUUUAACUGGAGUGUGCGGCGAAGGGUUACUCCCCCACAUAUCGCACAACCAUGUCCUAACCCCAACUCGUUAAACCCCCUCAGAUCCCUCUCCACCAGUCCCAUCAGACUACCACCCCAUCAGACCCCGAUAAUCUAGGUCAAUCCAAUCUGAUCCCUUAGAUAAACAGCCAAAACAGUGUACCGUAUUAUUCGUAUAAUCUAUUCAAAUUUAUUCACAGAUUCGUUUUUUUCAGGUGUUGAACGUGAUCAUGGAGUUCGGUAAUUUAUUUGUUUUCGUGACACUUAUUCAGGACUUUUUUUGGUAGAAUUGUUUACACCUGAUUUCCAUGAUAGUCCACCCUGGACACUAAUCCAGACACAUUAACCUGCCCAGAAACCAGUGUCAUGCAAACUCGUUCGGGUCCAAAUGCUUUCCGAGUUUCAAAGUUUUGCGAUCGUCUAAAUAUUUCAAAUUAAUGGUAACGAUAAACUUUGUCGGAUAGAAAAACUUUCAGUAUAGUAAUAGUCUGUAUCACCUGGCAAUCUGACUUCCUUGAAUAGCACAAACCGUCGUCAUUUUAUAUCCUUGCAUUAUGGAAAUUGUGCAAAACUCGGCAGGAUACGACCAGCACCGAGCUAUAUGACAAUUGGUAGUGGUCGAAAAAUGCAAGUGUUACUCCGGAGCUCCUAUUGAACCACUAAUAAUCUAAUCGUUGUACAAUUAUUUCGUGGUUAAUUUGUGUGGAAAUGAACCACUACGGCAGCCGAUACACGUCGUUCGCCUUUGCUAGUGGAGGGAUCGCUGGCAGAGGCGGUGCCCGAGGGGAACUGAGCAGUGGAAAUUUGAGCAGAAAGCUGAGUAGUCCGAUGGCAGAGUCGACACAGCUGGACAGCAGCGGUAUUCGGGGGAAUCUUUACGACAGUCCGGUACGACAGGUUGGAGUUAGGAAAAGAAGCCUACCUCUCCGUUGCAAAAUAGCAGGACAAAUUUUAGAAGCAGCUGAACGGCGUCCGGGUCCAGUAUGGAUCGAUUGAUUGAUCCUAAGAUUUACACGGAUGUUCAGAGCCGAGGAUUGGUUAACCGGUUGGUAAAGUACCACGAUGAAACGCAAUCGCCGUUAAAUAAGAGUCAAUCGAUGACUAGCCUGUACUCGAAGCCGGGUCAAUUUCCUGUGUGGUGGAGGAGAAACAAUUCUUCGAUAGCUACCAUUGGUUCGGAUUUUCCCGUCAGAGAAGUCCGUGUUUCAGGCUGACACAAGGUGGAACAUUUUACGGGAGGGAUCGUUGCUCAUUCCGGCGGAACCUCAUCUGAAGAUGGUCCAAACACAUAGACACGAGGAUGAGAUUGAUGCGGAAAAUAGUGUGAUUGCGCCUUCAACAGAACUGGAUGCCGAUUGGAUUAAGAAACAAUGUAAGGAGGUUGAUUCAGGCGAAGCUGGUACGAAGCAAGCUCGGGAAAUUACAUACACGGCUUCGCCCCCGUGUCGAGGGUCGGCGAAUCAGCAGCUGCAGACGAAGAAAUUAUGUAGUAAAAAUAAUAUCUCAAGUUCACUUAGCUCGAGCCUAGUGAUGAACACUCCGAAAGUGGAACACGUAGCGCACCGACCGGCACGAUUAAAUGUGGAUGUCUUUCUCGACGCCGGCAACAUUGAAUGCGACGGUUCCAGUUAGCAUGAUUGAAUCGAGCAAGCCGGCAAAAUUAAGUAGGAUUGAUUCCGCUCCUUUGCCACAGAUUACGAGAAUUUUUCCGGAGUUUCAACUGCCUCUGAUGAAAUAUCCGCCACUAAAACUAACGUUUAACAAGAAAUAUAACGUCCAUGACAUGACGAAACGGUGGUUCGACCCCCGUCCACAGACAGUGAAGGAUGAUGAUGAUAAAGUAGGCGGACGAAUCAGUUUCAUUAAGCCAAAGGAUAAAUCGCCUAUUAUGAGCAAUGCCAAGGUUGUCCUGAAGAGGU